GACGAACGCUGGCGGCGUGCCUAAUACAUGCAAGUCGAGCGGACGAAUCGAAAGCUUGCUUUUGAUUCGUUAGCGGCGGACGGGUGAGUAACACGUGGGCAACCUGCCCUGUAGGCGGGGAUAACACCGAGAAAUCGGUGCUAAUACCGGAUAACACGAAAUGUCGCAUGACGUUUCGUUGAGAGACGGCGCAAGCUGUCGCUACAGGAUGGGCCCGCGGCGCAUUAGCUAGUUGGUGAGGUAACGGCUCACCAAGGCGACGAUGCGUAGCCGACCUGAGAGGGUGAUCGGCCACACUGGGACUGAGACACGGCCCAGACUCCUACGGGAGGCAGCAGUAAGGAAUCUUCCGCAAUGGACGAAAGUCUGACGGAGCAACGCCGCGUGAGCGAAGAAGGCCUUCGGGUCGUAAAGCUCUGUUGUUAGGGAAGAACAAGUAACGCAGUAACUGGCGUUACCGUGACGGUACCUAACGAGAAAGCCACGGCUAACUACGUG
rnacentral:rRNA from 1 species